rnacentral:rRNA from 1 species
GUGCCAGCCGCCGCGGUAACACGUAGGGGGCAAGCGUUAUCCGGAAUUAUUAGGCGUAAAGGGUGCGUAGGCGGCUUCUUAAGCGUGGGGUGAAAUGCAAUAGCUCAACUAUUGUAAGCCUUGCGAACUGGGGAGCUUGAGUGCAGGAGAGGAAAGCGGAAUUCCUAGUGUAGCGGUGAAAUGCGUAGAUAUUAGGAGGAACACCAGUGGCGAAGGCGGCUUUCUGGACUGUAACUGACGCUGAGGCACGAAAGCGUGGGUAGCGAACAGGAUUAGAUACCCUGGUAGUCCACGCCGUAAACGAUGAGCACUAGGUGUCGGGGUCGCAAGACUUCGGUGCCGCAGUUAACGCAUUAAGUGCUCCGCCUGGGGAGUACGCACGCAAGUGUAAAACUUAAAGAAAUUGGCGG